rnacentral:rRNA from 1 species
CACGCCGUAAACGAUGAAUACUAGGUGUAGGAGGUAUCGACUCCUUCUGUGCCGCAGUUAACACAAUAAGUAUUCCGCCUGGGGAGUACGAUCGCAAGAUUAAAACUCAAAGGAAUUGACGGGGGCCCGCACAAGCAGCGGAGCAUGUGGUUUAAUUCGAAGCAACGCGAAGAACCUUACCUAGACUUGACAUCUCCUGAAUUACCCUUAAUCGGGGAAGCCCUUCGGGGCAGGAAGACAGGUGG